GGGGAAUUGUUCGCAAUGGGCGCAAGCCUGACGACGCAACGCCGCGUGGGGGAUGAAGGUCUUCGGAUUGUAAACCCCUGUUGGGUGGGACGAACACUUUCGUGGUGAAUAGCCAUGGAGGCUGACGGUACCACCUGAGGACGCCCCGGCUAACUCUGUGCCAGCAGCCGCGGUAAUACAGAGGGGGCAAGCGUUGUUCGGAAUUACUGGGCGUAAAGGGCGCGUAGGCGGCCUGUUAAGUCGGACGUGAAAUCCCUCGGCUCAACCGGGGAACUGCGUCCGAUACUGGCGGGCUUGAAUUCGGGAGAGGGAUGUGGAAUUCCAGGUGUAGCGGUGAAAUGCGUAGAUAUCCGGAGGAACACCGGUGGCGAAGGCGGCUUCCUGGACCGAUCACUGACGCUGAGGCGCGAAAGCUAGGGGAGCAAA
rnacentral:rRNA from 1 species